UCUCGCAGCGCGCGGAGCUCGGCGCUGCCGCCUGUACGUCCCCGCGGCGAUGGAGCCGCAGCCGCCCCCGGCCGCCGCCCGACAGGUAGAAACGGAUGACCAAACAGCAUUAGUUAGUAAGCCCAGGAAUAAAGGAGGAAAUGGUAAUCUGGCAUCGGCUGCUUUUAACAUUAUCAACUCUAUCAUAGGAUCGGGUGUUAUAGGAUUGCCAUAUUCAAUGAAGGAAGCUGGUUUUCCACUAGGGGUACUCCUGUUACUUGUGGUUGCCUGUAUCACAGAUUAUUCCAUUAUAUUACUGAUCAAAGGAGGAAACCUUUCCGGUACCAACAGCUAUCAAGAGCUGGUCAGAAAAACAUAUGGUCUUGUAGGUUAUCUAAUUCUUUCAACUCUUCAAUUUUUAUAUCCAUUUAUUGCUAUGAUUAGCUACAACAUAAUAACAGGAGACACUUUAACUAAAGUUUUUCAGAGAAUUCCUGGAGUUGCACCAGAUAGUGUGCUUGCUGACCGUCACUUCAUAAUUCUUCUUACCACCGUCAUCUUUACCUUGCCUUUAUCUUUAUAUCGAGACAUAGCAAAACUGGGAAAGGUUUCUCUCAGUUCUCUGAUUUUAAAUGUUGUCAUCCUGGUGAUUGUGAUGGUGAGAACAGUAACAUUCAGUCCGCAAGUACCCAAAUCAGAAAAUGCAUGGGUAUUUGCAAAACCAAAUGCAGUACAAGCUGUUGGGGUGAUGUCAUUUGCAUUCAUCUGCAACCAUAACAGCUUUUUAGUAUAUGGGUCUCUGGAAGAACCCACAUUAAAGAACUGGUCUCGAGUCACACAUGUGUCUGCGUCAUUCGCUGCUGUUAUCAGUGUAGUGUUUGCUGCAUGUGGAUAUAUGACUUUUACAGGAUACACAGAAGGAGAUAUAUUUGAAAACUACUGUAGAGAUGACAACCUUGCUACAUUUGGAAGGUUUUGUUAUGGAGUUACUGUAAUUCUGACCUUCCCGCUUGAAUGUUUUGUGACCAGAGAGGUGAUUGCCAAUGUGUUUUUCCAUGGGAACCUCUCAACAGUCUUCCAUGUUAUUGUGACAGUAGUUAUCGUUGCUGUGGCGACUGGUGUAUCAUUAGUGUACGAUUGCCUUGGAAUAGUUUUAGAGCUGAAUGGAGUUCUGAGUGCUACCCCACUUGUUUUUAUCAUCCCAACAACGUGCUAUCUAAGGCUGUCCAAGGAGCGAUGGAACCAUUCAGAUAACCUCAUAUCCUGCCUGAUUCUUGCUGUCGGUGUGCUAGUGAUGACAGUUGGGUUUGUUUUGACUAUCUUGCAUCCCCAGGAAUGUAGCCAUGGAAAAGAAAUGUUCUACUGCUUCCCUAGUAAUAUUUCUUUUCAGAACAUUACACUUCCACCAUAGGUAGCACACCAAUCUCAAGACUAGAUCAGGAGGUCUGAAUACAGAAGGAAGGACCUUGUUAUUUCAUAAUAAAAAUUGUGAUAGUGUUUUUUGGAAACAGUUAAGACUCCCAAAAGCAAUCAUCAAAAGCAAUACAGAAGACAUUUAAGGAUAUAAAAAUAAAGUUGCUAUAAAUAUGGCAAUAGCUUUGUAAAAUCUAGUGGGAUGCUCUCACUGGCCUCGGCAUGUGCAAGGAUCUCAGCACUACCAUAGUUCUUCAAGCAGAGGUAUGCUGUGCACAGAAGUGGAAGGAGUGCUGGAAGCAGCAAUAUCUCCAACUCCAAAUGCUCUGUGUUGACAGGACUUCAUGGAGUCCAGGGGGAGCGAGAGCAGCAAUGUUCCACAAGUACUUGCUGACAGGUUUUUCAAAUCAAAAGCUGGUAAUGUGACUCACUGUUUCUUCCAAGUUCCUCUCUCCAGCUGAGAAGGCAGUUCAGGACACCAGAUGUACAACUGCCAUUCUUACAGGAGCUAAAUGGGCAGUUUCUAACUUUCUAGAGCAGUGUGCCUCUUAUUAAUAAUAGACUUCAGCAUAUUCACAAAAUAUUGUCAGAUGAGCAAAUCCCAUGUACCACCAUAGACUCUCUAGAGAAUUUUCCUUCCUUCUCAAGCUUCUCAGUGGAAGGGGGGCAGAAUGGCUCAGGUUUGCUGAAUGGACAUAAUUCUAUAUAUUUUUCACUCACAAAUUUCUUUAUAUUUUAUAUCACAUACAUUAUUUGGGUAUGAUGUAGAAAGGUUAUUUAUGUGCUUAGUAUAUAAACGAGUAUUUGUGACUUGGUAGCAAAUAAAAAUUUAAGGUAGUAUGAGAAUUUAUUUGGACUGUCUGGUGUGAAUGCUGAAUAGGAGUUAGGCAGAAAGACAAAGAAUGUGGCAGACUAAACUAUUGUGAAUGUAAAACAUGAGAUUGAACACAUUCCCAUAGUAGGAAGGAGGGAAAAAUAAAAAAAACCCAAAACAUAAUGCACAGAAGGUUUAUGUUUUUACAGUAGUUCUUUUACAUGGAGAUCUAAUUUUAAAAAGCAAUUAUUGAGUUUCAGCCUAGGAACUAUGUUGCAAUAUUUGUUAUUUGGAUCUUUUUAGAAUUGGCAUGAACCAUACAAAGUAGAGGAUUUGAAGUUAGGCCAGUGGAAGAAAUAAGUAGAAGCUUUCCAGUUUCUGUUAUUCAAUGCUAUGGGAGAAGAUGAGGUUCAGGUACAUGCUUUGUACAAAUUCAAUGUUUGACUCAAAGCUAUUCAUGGAAAGAAAUUAAAUUGUUUGAUUAUUCCUCUUUCUUUUUGUUUUUCUGUUCCCUUCGAGCUAAAUGUUGGUUCUAGGUGGUUUGUAAGACCAUAUGGAAAAAGCCAUAGCUGCUGUAUAGUAUUCCAAAAUCACAUGCAGCAGGAAUUCAAGAAAAACUUCAGGAAGGUCUGAAUUUUCAUGUGUGAUUUCCUAAAGGAGACAGUGGCCCCUAAACACUGGAAAUGCCCGAUAAGAUUCGUGGACUUGAUGAAUUCAUACAAAUACUGAAGUAAUGAGCUGAAGACAAAGUUAGAAACUAAGUGAAAAUAACUCUGUAGAAAUAAAUUACAGAUGUAAUUCUGUAAAACCUGUAUUGAUGAUGCAAAUCAGCUUUCAAUGGGAAGUUUGUGUCUGCCAGAAGCAGACAGCUGUAGCAAGCAGACAGCUCUGUACUGAAACAAUUCCACAGGACCUGCUCUAGUUACCUCCUAAUAGGAGGUUCCUUUGACUCUUCAGCAAUGCCCUUUGUUGGAUGGUGGCGGAAAAGCUGACAGUGGUGACAUUGCUGUCUUGCCAAGGCUGACUGACUGAGGUUUUGUGGAGUAUGUCAUAUGCAUCCCUCAUGACUUUUGGUUUUAAAGGCAGGGGCUAUCUUAUUUUUUUUUCUGUGUUCAUAUACUGCUUAGCGCAGUGGCUUUUGAUUGAUGGCGGGGCCCCCUGGGUACUGUAGUAACAUAAGCAGUAAUUAUUAUACUUUGGCCAUAUUGUGCUAUUUCUCUACGGUUAUAUUUUGUUCCUGUCAUGAACAAGUAACGUACAUAUGUCACUGGUUGAUGGAGGAUCCCUUUACUUUUAUUUUUUAGUCCAAAUAUUUUUUGGGAAGGAAGGCUUGGAGGAUGUCUUCAUGCUUGAUUUACUGCGUUUUGUGGCUCUUCUGAUAAGGACAGCAGUGUCAAAUACCUUAUUUAUGUAGCCAGAGUGGUUAGUAGUUAUUCUAUUUUUUGUAGUGCUGCAUGAAAACUCUUGUGAAAAAGCAGUACCCUGCCUGUAACACAAAAUAUGUUCAAUACGGGGCAGUCCUGACCCUCUUGGAACUUACAUUAGUUCAUCAAAGGAGGCAUGACUGGAGUCAUGUGACAAUGGAUGCAGCGACAGCUGUCUGAUUUUGACCUUCUUCGAUAUCAAUUAAUUUGGAAAGAUAAUUUUGAGAGCAAAAGACAAGUAUUUUAUUUCAGAGCCAAAACUGACUGCUUGGGUAAAAUCGAAAUUAAUAAGAUAGACCUUAGAGGGAAAAAAAAGUUACAUUAUUAUGGUGACUUACAUUUAAAACUCUUCCUUUAUACUGAGCACUGUUUUUUUUCCUUUCAUCCUACCUUUAUAUAUAAUAGAAAAUAAAUGUGUCUAAUGAACUUCAGCAGGUUAAGUUUCAAGCUCUUUCCUAUCAUCUUGCAAGAGAUAUGUUUAGCUGGGAAGAGGCAAAUAACAAAUAUCUGCCUGUGCUGUUUGAUUGAAGAAGUCACUUGACUAGGCACUAACAUAAGAAAAAAACCAACCUGGUAAAGAGAUGAUUAAAUGUGAGCAUAUUUAAGCAAUGUUCAAGUCACAUAAAUUCACUUCUGCUCAUUUGCUCCUUCUCUUUCCAUCUUUUCUCUGUUUUAUUUUUUCACAGGAAAGAUUGUCUGUCUUUUGUAUUGGGUCCUUUUAGAUACCUGCUCAGUGCUCUGAUAUGUGAAGCACAUAGAUAGAUGGAAGUCUUCUAUCUAUUUUCCUUUACAUUAAAAUUCUCAGCGUGGGCCUACUACAGAAUAAUUCGGAAUAAUAGAUGUCUUAAAAUAACAUGAGUUUUCACAGGAUUGUUAUUACUUUCCCAGGACUCUGUAGCUAGCUGUCUUCCAGAGAAGAGAUAAUUCCCUAAAAUUAAAUUUUCAAGGAGAUAAGAUAUAAGACCAUACCAUAACACAGUGUUUUAUAGCAUUUUAAAUUAGCAGCAUGCUGUAUGCUGGCACAAAGCAUUUGUAGCAGUGCUAGUCUGACUGCAGUGUGAGACAAAUGAUAUCCUAGACUCUAUUAAUACAUUUAACAGCAUAUAUUAAUUUUUUUCCCAUCUAAUGACUGGGCAGUGGAAUAAAAAAACCAGAUUAUUUAUGCCAGUAAGGCAGUAAUUUCUAAACUAAACAAAAAAAGAUUAUGGUAUAGCCCAUUUUGUGCAGAAAUCUAGUUAUCAAAGAACAGUUUCUAGUAUGCUGGUACUUCCAGAGACUUCAUAAACCAUCAUGAGGCCUUACUGGAGAGGUGAGAUAGGUGGGAAGUUACCCAGUUAUCAUAGGAUAAUUGACAUUUUCAGUCUUUCAGGAAUCUGACGGAAUUUAAUUCUGGUUUUAUAAAAGAAGGGUAGGUCUCAGUAGCAAAAUGCAAAUUUAUAAUUGGUGGCAUAUCAAAUCAUUGCUGAUGGGCUCUGUUAGGCUUGUCCCAACUAUGGGAAAAUCAUUUGGAUGCAGUGGUCUUAAGCCAGUAUAUUGGAGAGAGGAAGGGGAGCUAGACUCUAGAGAUGUGAGGCACCACUGAUUUUCUUAAUUCAGAUUCAAAGACAAAAGCAGUGGAAGCAAUAAUUUCUUACUCAUAAUUCCUCCUUUCAGCCUUGUGUUCUCAAUCUAUUGCAUUACGUUGUUUACAGGGCACUGUAAUAGGAAAAGACCAUGAAAGUGAGUAAGCUGGAUCGGUAUUCUAACUUUAUAGGUAGCAUAGAGACCAGAGUGAGAGAAGCUUUAACAGAGAAUGGUUAGCUGUCAAUCCUGCAGGUGCACUGAAGAUGCAUGCUUCAAGAACUGCUCGUUGUGAAAGGACACACAAUGACAAGACCAAGGAAGCUUGUUAUUUUAAAUUAAGAACUGAUAAUUUUAUCUAUUUUCUGCAAAUAUCCAAUCUUGUAUAGCCUAGGAAUAUCAGUGGUAAAGAUGCUAACAAUUCUGCUUGCUGUGAACAAAUACAAGGUUUCUGGAAUUGAGUUAUUCACUUCUGUCUACUCUGAAGUCCACGUGACUGUUGACUAAAAAAUAAGGGAAAUGCAGAAUGAUGCGAGGAAACCUGAAUCUAGUCUUUCACUUUGGUGGCAUCUGCUGUGUUACUAAAUGUCAGCUGAAGCAGGAAAACAAUAUAAACAUUUAAAAUGCAAGUAAUCCGUACUAGAUAAGAAUACUGUUUUCUCAAAUACAGACAUAACUCAGUCUGUAACAGUAAAGAACUGUGGACUUCUUACAGCAGAAUUAGGUCUAAAAGAUUACCUCAGUUUUGUUGCAUGCUGCUUUGUAUGAUUAAUGUCUGAUAGUCUGUUCCCACCUUCUUUUAUUAGGUUGUAGUUCUUCCUUAGAUGGACAUUCUACUGUAAUUUUUUCCUUGGAAGACUGUCAAACUUGUAGGGGCCUUCCAAGAGGGUUUAUAUCUUGGAACCAAAGCAGGAUGCAACAAGAAAAACAUCCUGAAACUCACGGGGCAUCAAAAGAGGGGCCUCCUAGAACUGAGGAAGGAACUUCACUGAAAAUUUGCAAAUACUCCCAAGUGAUGGUUAAUGCUUACAAAACUAGAGCAAAAAAACACUUAACAUUGUGCUUGUUGUACUAUAGUUAGAUAUGAGCUGGGAACUCACUUGGAACUCUUGUUGGUAACAUCAGUAUUUUAACAAGGUAAACUGUGUUUCAUUGGACUGUAUUUUUAAGUUGUUGAGAUGUAAGAAUGUCUUACAUGUAGUUAUUGCUUAUGAUGAGACUUAGUAACUUGUGCAACAGGUUCUAGCUAUAAUAGGUGGGAUGGUGCCAAUGUGGAACUGUAAAAUAACAGAUCCUGUGCAUCAGCAUGUCACUAUGUGCUAGACAGAGUAUUGUGGGGCUGGUACAAGUUUAUGAAGUAUAUUACUGUGACGCAAGAGAAAGAAGUUGUUAGUGUGAAAAGUUGAAGAGAACUAGAUAUAACCAGGCAACUAGAUAUACUGUUGUGUUAAAAUUUUUAAUUAAUUUUCUUUCUCUGUGGAACAAUGAUGAAUAAAAAAGUUGUUUAUGUGUUUUCCUUGUAGUAUACCUACCCUUUUAGAAAAAAUAGAAUAAAACAAAACAGACCUUUAAACUGCUGUUUUGCAAAUGUGAACAUAAUAUUUUAAUUGGAAUAUUAAGGGAAUUGCAGAAACAUUUCUAUUUAUGUUAUUCCAGGAUCCUCACUUCUGGUCUUUCAAUAUUCUUGUAAAUGAAACUGUAUCAAAUGUGCUUGGGAUUCCUGCAAACUGCAAACGGUUAUUAAGAAUUCAUUACACUUUCUCUUUUUAGGACCACCUUGAUCCAGACUAACAACUCGGAUUUUUUCUCCUGUAUGUUAGUGCUCCUUAAAGUAUUAAGCGUAUUUCAAUACUGAAAAGACUCCAUUAAUGAACAGUGGCCUUCUGCAUGCUCUUUUACAUGGGUUUAAAUUUUUGUCAACCUCCACAGGGCUCCAAAGUCUCAAUCCUGAACAUACAUUGUUAACUGAAGAUGGAGAAACAGUCCUUUUUACCUCAACAUGUAAAAAAGUUUUAAGUGUUUGUUGGAAUGUUGUGGGAAUCACAGUUUUACUCUGACAAAAGUCUACUGUGCAAUAUUGAUCAUUACACAGAAUAUACCCAGAUGGACUACAGCAUUCUAAGCAGUAGGCAAAGCAGUUCUGGAAUAUGAAUAGAUUAAUUCAAGUGAUUCAAUUGAUAAUUUUAGUGACUAAUCAAUAAUUCAGUAUUAAAAGUAAUUAAAUAACCAUUCAGUGUAUUAACAGACCAGCAUUUUAUAUCCGGCCCUUGAGUACUGUACCUUCAGUUUGAUGCUGAAACUAAUUUUUAUUUAAAUUAAUUGAUAUUUUCAAAGUACCUUAGUUCAUUAUGUGUGUGUAUGGUAUUUUAAGUAUAUUUGCCAGAAGUGUGGGAAGAAAGUGGCAAGAUUCAAAUGCUGUCUUCUAUACUGAACAUAGCAAGGCAGUUCAAUCUGGAAACAAAUUUAGUAUCUGCAACAGAAAGCAAAUAUAGUUUUCUUAUGUUACAAAAGAUUUUAGUAAUGGCAAAAUUAAACAAAUAUUUAUUUAGUGUUCUAGGGAGAAGGAGAAAAUAAUAAGGCUACAAGUUUUCUAGGGGUUAACGAUGUUGGAAUCCAGGUUCCUGAUAUGGGACCUUAUAAUCUUGGCCUAGAGGAAAUGUUAGGUCUUGCUUUUUCUGGAACAGAGUAAGGAGAAAGACAAGAAAAGCAGAUGGCAUUGUAUUGCGAGGAGCAAGAGGCAAGCAAGAAGCGAUCAUGAUUUUAUACUCGAGAGUGAGAUUCUGUCUUCGUAGAUUUCUCUACAACUUUUUCCAGUAGUAUCUGAAAAUCUGCAAGAAAUAAAAGAUGGCAGUGAUCUCUCUUCUUGCUGACAAGAGUUGAGGUAGGGGUGGCAUAUGAUGCAUUAAAAGAAAAACAGUGGCCAAGCUCUUUCAUUUUCAGCAUACUUUAUACUGUUUAGACUUAAAAACAUCACUGUGACAGGCUCAUCUUAACCUAUGUUAUCUGUAGAACAGCUAUUUUAACCUUUCCAACGCAUCUCCUCUACAGCCGUCCAUUAUUACAUGCAUUCUCUUAUUUCCUCUGUUAUGACAAUGAGUCUUGGGAACUUUUAAUUAAUAUGUAACAAAUUUAGUAUAAGUCAAUACAGACCUGAUACCUAUCUAGAUGGUGUCAGUUGAGAAAUUUGGUGGUUGUUUUAGAAGCAGACCAGCAGAUGGUGCUCAAAAAUUAAUCACAGCAUAACUGAGCUGUGAUAGCGUUCAUUUAUUUUUCUUUUUUAUUCUUUAUAGAAUAGUUAUUAUGCAUUUCUUAAUUAAAUGGAUAUGUCAGUAAGGAUGGCAGAACUGAAUACCCAAGAAUUUUCAAAAAUCAGUGUCUGAAUCCUUUUUAGUUUUCUUCUAGCCAUAAUUGUUGGGUUUAAUUUCAUUUAUCUUAAUAUAUUGUGUAAUUUCAUUUCAAGUGUUAACAGUUUUAAGAUAAAACACUAGCUUUUUCCUCCUAAUCAGACUGAGAUGGUUUGCCUUGAAGAUUUAAAAAUAAUUUGUGAUGAUAUUUGGAGGAGUGAUGGAAGCUGCAGUUGAUUGUUAUUAUAUUAAAAAAUAUAUAUAUAAAAAAUCCCUGCCUGAACUGAAGUUGCAAAGGUGUACCAGUAAUCUUAAGAGCCUUGAGAAUUUUGUACAAACUAUAUUAACCAUAAAGCCUUCUGCAAAUCAGAAAAUUCAAUGUUGAUUUCAUAAUCACAAAGCAAGCAGUGGCGUGUGUUAAAAUGCAGUAAACUUAACAUGCUCUGUCAUCCUGUUAAGCCUUCAUCUGAAGGCUGUGACAACCUGUUGACGUGCUACAUUCUAGAUGCUGUGAAUGGUAUGCCCAGGUACUUUGAAAGCUGGCAGCUUUACAGGCCCUGCUUUCUUGGAUAUUUCGCUUGCAGACACCUUGAUGAAUACCCACUUCGGUUCAUGCAAGGAAAAAGAAACCUAGCUUGGGAGCUUGGGUAAACCCCACCCAAGGUGUAUAGUUUGUUUUCAAUUAAAUGUAUUGGCAAGUUAAUGAUCUGCUUCAUCUGACUAGUAAAAGCUUAACAUUGGCAGUAACUGCCUUGAGGUGGCUGUACUGGAAAGAAGAGAGGGAUUUGACAAAGAAUGAAAAAUAUGACAUGUUAUAACGGCGAUGGCAUUUUGUGAAAGGAGGCUGAUUUAGAUUAGUCUUUGGCAGAACAGGGAUGCAUACAGUGCUAGCUGGCGUGUUAGUGGGGACAGCUACAGAGCUCCCGAUUGAUGUAAGAAGUAUAUAGCAAGUAACAAAUUUUGGGUUACAUAAAAUCCUGGAAACUGCAUGUAGAGUAUGCACUGCAGUGGAGUUUAGGAAGUAGAAAUUAAAUGUAUGCAUACACAUAAACAAAACAAAAAUAAACUCACCCUUACCUUCUUGGGAAAGAAGGAAAUGCAAUUUAGAAACAGGAAAAACUUACAAACCAUGUAAUUUACACAACAUGCAAAUAAACCAAGGUACUGGUCUUCAUCUCUUUAAACUUUCCGUUAGUGUUUCAAUAGACGCAUCAGGGGAAAAAAGUAUAAGUUUUAUCUGCUCUCUGUUAGGUUGCAUGUAAAAGGAGAGGCAUUAAUACAGGAGCUUUAAAAAGCAUUUUCAAAUAAUCACAGCUCAUAGUUGCUCUGUAUAAUCCUCAGUGCUCGGCACGCCUGCAGCAUCCACAAGAAGCAUGUCUCUGUUAGCUUUGCUGCUGUAGACUACUGAGAUUGGUGCAUUUCCAGCAGAAAAAAGAAAUUACUAAAAUGUAAUUCAGGAAUCCAUUCAAAACUGUGUAAGUGUACAGACACUGUGAUUUUCAUGGAUGUUAAAUUUGACUUAAGAUCUUUGAUAGACUGAGAAUUAAUCGGGCUGCCCAGCAAGUCCAAAGCAGCGUAUAUGGAGACUGACUGACUUUCAUGUAUGCUGUAGGCAUGAACUGAAAAAUAAAGGUAUUUUUGUAACUGUCAGUGUCACGAUAAUCCAGUUUGGAAGUUAUGUAUGCUGUGAUGUACCUUUUAACUCAAAGCUCAUCAAACAGUUUUCUGCUCCUCAAUUCUUAUUCUGCUGGCAGCUUAGGCUUAUGUGUGUAGAACACCUUUCUUUGCUUUCUCAAAUAUAGGAAUGAAGUCAUUUGUUUAUGUUUUUAGUGAACAGACAAGCAUGAUAAUGGCAUAUAUUGAUUUUGUGAACUGUAUGCA